GUUCUGGCAUCGAUGAAGAACGCAGCGAAAUGCGAUAAGUAGUGUGAAUUGCAGAAUUCAGUGAAUCAUUGAAUCUUUGAACGCACAUUGCGCCCUUUGGUAUUCCAAAGGGCAUGCCUGUUCGAGCGUCAUUUGUACCCUCAAGCUUUGCUUGGUGUUGGGCGUCUUGUCUCUAGCUUUGCUGGAGACUCGCCUUAAAGUAAUUGGCAGCCGGCCUACUGGUUUCGGAGCGCAGCACAAGUCGCACUCUCUAUCAGCAAAGGUCUAGCAUCCAUUAAGCCUUUUUUUUCAACUUUUGACCUCGGAUCAGGUAGGGAUACCCGCUGAACUUAAGCAUAUCAAUAAGCGGAGGAAC
rnacentral:rRNA from 1 species